UAGAGUUUGAUCCUGGCUCAGAUUGAACGCUGGCGGCAGGCCUAACACAUGCAAGUCGAGCGGUAACACAGAGGAGCUUGCUCCUUAGGUGACGAGCGGCGGACGGGUGAGUAAUGCCUGGGGAUCUGCCCGAUAGAGGGGGAUAACUACGGGAAACUGUAGCUAAUACCGCAUAACGUCUACGGACCAAAGUGGGGGCUCUUCGGACCUCAUGCUAUCGGAUGAACCCAGGUGGGAUUAGCUAGUUGGUGAGGUAAUGGCUCACCAAGGCGACGAUCUCUAACUGGUUUGAGAGAAUGACCAGUCACACUGGAACUGAGACACGGUCCAGACUCCUACGGGAGGCAGCAGUGGGGAAUAUUGCACAAUGGGCGCAAGCCUGAUGCAGCCAUGCCGCGUGUGUGAAGAAGGCCUUCGGGUUGUAAAGCACUUUCAGCGGGGAGGGAGGGCUACUAGUUAAUACCUAGUGGCAUUGACGUUACUCGCAGAAGAAGCACCGGCUAACUCCGUGCCAGCAGCCGCGGUAAUACGGAGGGUGCAAGCGUUAAUCGGAAUUACUGGGCGUAAAGCGCACGCAGGCGGUUUGUUAAGUCAGAUGUGAAAUCCCCGAGCUCAACUUGGGAACUGCAUUUGAAACUGGCAAGCUAGAGUCUUGUAGAGGGGGGUAGAAUUCCAGGUGUAGCGGUGAAAUGCGUAGAGAUCUGGAGGAAUACCGGUGGCGAAGGCGGCCCCCUGGACAAAGACUGACGCUCCCCUGCGAAAGCGUGGGGAGC
rnacentral:rRNA from 1 species